UCAUUUUACACCCAUCAUCCACAUUUCUAGACCUUUUGAGGGAAUUUACAAAUCAGUCUCUGAGUUUCAUUGAAUCUGCUUGAAGACAAGAAAGAAGAAUGCAUAAAGGGGGAACUGGGAAGGAAGGAAGCAAUGUUGAGAGGAUGAAGAGAAAAGGGCAUACAGUACCAAAUUAAAACUGAGUACAACAUGCAAUGGUAUCUAGCGCCAUGUAUGUAUCACAACAUUCCUGUGAGCAGGAGAUGGAGAGCCAUGGUCCAGCUGAAACUAUCAUCUGAAGGAAUCCAGAUGUAAAGCCCAUGAGGAAUGAAGCUCAGGACUACCUAACCAAGUGAAGGUGGGGAGAAGAAAAAGAGAUGCUUCCAGAAACCUCGAACAAUUCUUAAUCACUGCAGAAAUAUGUUAUGUCUUAUAUUUAAGAAAGUACUUCUGCCUGGCCUGUUAAAUACAUGUAUUUCGUCCAUUGAUUAUAAAACAGAACAUCACAGUGCCAGAAGAUACCCUUUGUUCCAAGUUGGAAUCACAUUGCUAAGCCAGUCACAUGUUUUCAUUGGCUUAAAUACAUUCUCAGUGCUUUAUGAACUAUGCAUUUUUCCACAAUGCAAUAUUUUCCCAGCUGACCUUUGGAAAAGCAUAGCUUCAGUACAGACUCAACUAUUCCAUGAUUACAGAGGUGUUUUCACAAGGGAAAUAGAAAUAUGAAGCCAUAUUAUCAACAAUUUUGUCAUUUAGAGACGUUAGCAAGAAGCUAAAUUUUUCCAGUGCU